GAUGAAGAACGUAGCGAAACGCGAUAUGUAAUGUGAAUUGCAGAAUUCAGUGAAUCAUCGAAUCUUUGAACGCACAUGGCGCCUUCCAGUAUCCUGGGAGGCAUGCCUGUCCGAGCGUCGUUUCAACCCUCGAGCCCCCGUGGCCCGGCGUUGGGGAUCUGCCACGGCAGGCCCCUAAAACCAGUGGCGGACCCGAAGGCCCUCUCCUUUGCGCAGUAGCAUCAGCCUCGCAUUGGGAUCCCUCGGCGUCCUGUCUCUAAACCCCCCACAAGUCCGCUCCGGCGGCACCAAGGUUGACCUCGGAUCAGGUAGGAAUACCCGCUGAACUUAAGCAUAUCAAUAAGCGGAGGA
rnacentral:misc_RNA from 1 species